rfam:Gossypium arboreum cultivar AKA8401 contig_6981_3, whole genome shotgun sequence.
AUUCUAUGAUGAGGGCACUUUCGUAAUAAUUCCUUGUGCCUUUCCCAUGCCUCAUACAAGGACUCAUCAUCCAUCUGUUUAAAAACAAUGAUCUUGUUCCUCAACUU